rnacentral:misc_RNA from 1 species
UUGACACUAUGUGCGGCAGUCCGACAGGUUCGUUCCGUCAAUGGCGCCACUGGCGAGAUGACGUCGAAAUUCGUGUCUCUGACGUCACAACAAGCAGGUGGUGCGAAUUCCAAAAAUCCUGCCAUUUUCACCGCGAUUACUCGCAGGACAAAGGGGAGGAAAGUGUUGGAAUGUCAUGGAUUUUUAUGUUCAAAUGAUCAGGAUGCUCUGGAGUUAGUGAAGGCUACCAAAUUCAUUGAUGCUAAGUAUAAACAGCGAGGAACCACCAGCAACAGGAGUUCCUUUGUAGCCCCAUCACAUCCGACUCAAAUUCCACAACCACAGAGUGGUCGAGUCGAGAAAAUUGUCAAUGGAGGUACCGGUAUUCUGAACGGAAAUGUGCCAAACGGUAAUAUGAAGGCAGAUUUACAUCCAUCAGGCUUUAAUGACGUACGUUUGCAAACCGGCGAAGUGGUGGAGAGUGUUAAGGAUGCCGCGCCCGAGUUUUAUGACACUGUCCCUACCACUGGAUACUUCUACAGCGGAGCCAAUACGGAGGUUAAAAAGUACAACAUCGAAAAAUUAGGAGAAAAGGCAUACUCUGAUAUUGGACCCUCACGAACACCUCGCCCAAUUCAACAGCGACCGCAGCAUCCGACAAUAUCGGCUCGAGGCGGGCCUAUGCCACCACCAAUGGUAAUACCUGGACCACGUAUGAUGGGGCCACCGGGUAGACACCCAAUGAUGGCCACCCCCUGGUGCAAUGAUGUACGGCCCGCCGCCGCCCCCGAUUUACGUUCGAAGACCAAAACAACGUCCACGGUCAGGAAGUCGAUCCAACUCUUCAUCUUCGGGAUCUGAGAGAGGAAGGGAUCCGGACGACACAUUUGCAAAGAGAAUGGCCAACGGGAACUCAGAUUCCGGAAGUGAUAUUUCCGGAUACAGACCCCCGACGCCGCCGCGCGAUUAUGAAAUGAAUCUAGAGGACAGGAAACGAGAGAGAUUAAGCAGACGUGAUAAACAUGAACGCAGACGACGACGAAGCCGGUCUCCCCCCGAGGGAAGGGGUCCACAAAGGAUGAUGUAUCCUGGAUAUCCGCCCGCCCCAUUUAUGCACCCGGUUUAUGGCCCUAUCUAUCCUACAAUUUACGGAUACGGAAGGUCAAGGUCAGUUCCGCCUCCUAUGAGGUACCCUACAGACGCAAAACCAUCAAAAAAGAAAGAAAAGAAGAAUAAGAAGAAAAACCGCAAUAAUGCACCACCACCCGAGACUGGUUUCGGUGGAUACACUUCCGAGAUCCCGUUCGGCGCCUUCCCGGCUCCAGGUCCUUACGAUUCUCAAUUACGACGACCACGUGACUUCCGGCGGGAAGAAAACCAAUUUCUAAACGAGAAAUCGUUUUCUCAAAGCAUGAAAGAACAGACUCGUGUAUCUAAAGGCAAUCCUAAUGGCGACCAGUACCCAACAGCAUACGAACUCAAUAACGCCGGAAAUGACGACGAUCGGCAAAUUGAAUCAGAGUUCAUUUACUAAAACAAGUGGUUACUAAUAAUCAAUGUGUCGUGCAAAAAUGAGACGUUUAUAAAUGUGAUAGUGCUACAUGUAGAAUGACUGGAUAUUUUACGAAUCUUGCGCGUUCUGGUCUAUGUCGGCAAAUUCCUGUUGACGACACGACUUUAGGUGUCAAAGUUCGGAAAUUCUUGGUAUCGAGAAACCAUUUUGGUAAUUUUCUGUCGCCAUUUAAAGUGCGGAAUUCUAUCUGCCAUUAAAAAGACUGGGGGAGAGAGAUUGAAUGUCUACAUCCAUUUAACGUCGCUGCAUUGUUUACCAGUUCAAGUUUAGUGCCUUGCCCUAGUUGUCACACAUGGUCAACCAUAAAAGUUUCUAAAAACAUUUCUUAAUGAAAAUACUUUUAAUCGUAUCAAUUUUUGAAAAGCAUUACUACAUGUAUCAAAAAUACUCAUGCUUUCUACAAUAAAAAAAGAUAAGGUUAAAUUCUUGACAGGUAUAUGCAUUUAUUAUUCACGUUUUAUUCUGAUUUUAAUGUAUUCAGACACAAACCAACUUGAAGUUAUGUACAUUCUUUUAUUUACAUUGUAAAUAGCCUUUCAGGGUUGUAAGGGCCAAUUAUAGAUAAUGCCCCUGUACCAUACCUACAUGUAUGCAUGUUUGCGAUUUUAUGCCACAUACAAUUAUAAGGCACAUAAUCGCAUUGGAAAUAUUCUUCACGUUCAUGUUAUGUAUAAUUGACAUUUAAUUGUGGUUUCUUCUUUUAGAUAUAUACAUAUAUAUAAAUUUAUUUUUAUAUGUGAGCAGAUAUUUGGGUCAUUGCCAUACGUAUAUACCAAAGUGUGUAUCAUCAUUGUUAUUCCAAGUAUCAUUAAAUGAUAUAUAUUCUAC